rnacentral:rRNA from 1 species
UACGGAGGUUGCGAGCGUUAAUCGGAAUUACUGGGCGUAAAGCGUGCGCAGGCGGCUCUUCAAGUCAGAUGUGAAAGCCCCGGGCUUAACCUGGGAAUGGCGUUUGAAACUGGAGGGCUGGAGUGUGGCAGAGGUAGGUGGAAUUCCACGUGUAGCAGUGAAAUGCGUAGAGAUGUGGAGGAACACCGAUGGCGAAGGCAGCCUCCUGGGCCAACACUGACGCUCAUGCGCGAAAGCGUGGGGAGCAAACAGG